AGGUCCGGGGUCUGGGGGGGGGGUCAGCGCGGUGGGGUCCCCCCAGGGGCAGGUCCAGGGUCGGGGGUCAGCGAGGUGGGGUCCCCCCAGGGGCAGGUCCGGGGUCUGGGGGGUCAGUGAGGUGGGGUCCCCCCAGGGGCAGGUCCGGGGUCGGGGGUCAUUGCGGUGGGGUCCCCCCAGGGGCAGGUCCGGGAUCUGGGGGUCACGCGGCGGGGUCCCCAGGGGCAGGUCCGGGAUCUGGGGGGUCAGCGCGGCGGGGUCCCCCCAGGGGCAGGUCCGGGGU